rnacentral:rRNA from 1 species
GGGUUGUGAGGUUAAGCGACUAAGCGUACACGGUGGAUGCCCUGGCAGUCAGAGGCGAUGAAGGACGUGCUAAUCUGCGAAAAGCGUCGGUAAGGUGAUAUGAACCGUUAUAACCGGCGAUGUCCGAAUGGGGAAACCCAGUGCAAUUCGUUGCACUAUCGUUAACUGAAUACAUAGGUUAACGAGGCGAACCGGGGGAACUGAAACAUCUAAGUACCCCGAGGAAAAGAAAUCAACCGAGAUUCCCCCAGUAGCGGCGAGCGAACGGGGAGCAGCCCAGAGUCUGAAUCAGCUUGUGUGUUAGUGGAACGGUCUGGAAAGUCCGACGGUACAGGGUGAUAGUCCCGUACACCAAAAUGCACAGGCUGUGAACUCGAAGAGUAGGGCGGGACACGUGGUAUCCUGUCUGAAUAUGGGGGGACCAUCCUCCAAGGCUAAAUACUCCUGACUGACCGAUAGUGAACCAGUACCGUGAGGGAAAGGCGAAAAGAACCCCGGCGAGGGGAGUGAAAAAGAACCUGAAACCGUGUACGUACAAGCAGUGGGAGCACCUUCGGGUGUGACUGCGUACCUUUUGUAUAAUGGGUCAGCGACUUAUAUUCUGUAGCAAGGUUAACCGUAUAGGGGAGCCGCAGGGAAACCGAGUCUUAACUGGGCGUUAAGUUGCAGGGUAUAGACCCGAAACCCGGUGAUCUAGCCAUGGGCAGGUUGAAGGUUGGGUAACACUAACUGGAGGACCGAACCGACUAAUGUUGAAAAAUUAGCGGAUGACUUGUGGCUGGGGGUGAAAGGCCAAUCAAACCGGGAGAUAGCUGGUUCUCCCCGAAAGCUAUUUAGGUAGCGCCUCGUGAAUUCAUCUUCGGGGGUAGAGCACUGUUUCGGCUAGGGGGUCAUCCCGACUUACCAACCCGAUGCAAACUACGAAUACCGAAGAAUGUUAUCACGGGAGACACACGGCGGGUGCUAACGUCCGUCGUGAAGAGGGAAACAACCCAGACCGCCAGCUAAGGUCCCAAAGUCAUGGUUAAGUGGGAAACGAUGUGGGAAGGCACAGACAGCCAGGAUGUUGGCUUAGAAGCAGCCAUCAUUUAAAGAAAGCGUAAUAGCUCACUGGUCGAGUCGGCCUGCGCGGAAGAUGUAACGGGGCUAAACCAUGCACCGAAGCUGCGGCAGCGACACUAUGUGUUGUUGGGUAGGGGAGCGUUCUGUAAGCCUGCGAAGGUGACCUGUGAGGGUUGCUGGAGGUAUCAGAAGUGCGAAUGCUGACAUAAGUAACGAUAAAGCGGGUGAAAAGCCCGCUCGCCGGAAGACCAAGGGUUCCUGUCCAACGUUAAUCGGGGCAGGGUGAGUCGACCCCUAAGGCGAGGCCGAAAGGCGUAGUCGAUGGGAAACAGGUUAAUAUUCCUGUACUUGGUGUUACUGCGAAGGGGGGACGGAGAAGGCUAUGUUAGCCGGGCGACGGUUGUCCCGGUUUAAGCAUGUAGGCUGGUUAUCCAGGCAAAUCCGGAUAAUCAAGGCUGAGGUGUGAUGACGAGGCACUACGGUGCUGAAGUAACAAAUGCCCUGCUUCCAGGAAAAGCCUCUAAGCAUCAGGUAACAUUAAAUCGUACCCCAAACCGACACAGGUGGUCAGGUAGAGAAUACCAAGGCGCUUGAGAGAACUCGGGUGAAGGAACUAGGCAAAAUGGUGCCGUAACUUCGGGAGAAGGCACGCUGGUGUGUAGGUGAAGCCCCUGCGGGUGGAGCUGAGACCAGUCGAAGAUACCAGCUGGCUGCAACUGUUUAUUAAAAACACAGCACUGUGCAAACACGAAAGUGGACGUAUACGGUGUGACGCCUGCCCGGUGCCGGAAGGUUAAUUGAUGGGGUUAUCCGUAAGGAGAAGCUCUUGAUCGAAGCCCCGGUAAACGGCGGCCGUAACUAUAACGGUCCUAAGGUAGCGAAAUUCCUUGUCGGGUAAGUUCCGACCUGCACGAAUGGCGUAAUGAUGGCCAGGCUGUCUCCACCCGAGACUCAGUGAAAUUGAACUCGCUGUGAAGAUGCAGUGUACCCGCGGCAAGACGGAAAGACCCCGUGAACCUUUACUAUAGCUUGACACUGAACAUUGAGCCUUGAUGUGUAGGAUAGGUGGGAGGCUUUGAAGCGUGGACGCCAGUCUGCGUGGAGCCAACCUUGAAAUACCACCCUUUAAUGUUUGAUGUUCUAACGUUGGCCCCUUACCGGGGUUGCGGACAGUGUCUGGUGGGUAGUUUGACUGGGGCGGUCUCCUCCCAAAGCGUAACGGAGGAGCACGAAGGUUAGCUAAUCCUGGUCGGACAUCAGGAGGUUAGUGCAAUGGCAUAAGCUAGCUUGACUGCGAGCGUGACGGCGCGAGCAGGUGCGAAAGCAGGUCAUAGUGAUCCGGUGGUUCUGAAUGGAAGGGCCAUCGCUCAACGGAUAAAAGGUACUCCGGGGAUAACAGGCUGAUACCGCCCAAGAGUUCAUAUCGACGGCGGUGUUUGGCACCUCGAUGUCGGCUCAUCACAUCCUGGGGCUGAAGUAGGUCCCAAGGGUAUGGCUGUUCGCCAUUUAAAGUGGUACGCGAGCUGGGUUUAGAACGUCGUGAGACAGUUCGGUCCCUAUCUGCCGUGGGCGCUGGAGAAUUGAGGGGGGCUGCUCCUAGUACGAGAGGACCGGAGUGGACGCAUCACUGGUGUUCGGGUUGUCAUGCCAAUGGCACUGCCCGGUAGCUAAAUGCGGAAGAGAUAAGUGCUGAAAGCAUCUAAGCACGAAACUUGCCCCGAGAUGAGUUCUCCCUGAGACUUUAAGUCUCCUGAAGGAACGUUGAAGACGACGACGUUGAUAGGCCGGGUGUGUAAGCGCAGCGAUGCGUUGAGCUAACCGGUACUAAUGAACCGUGAGGCUUAACCUUACAACGCCGAAG